AGAAUCAACGCUGGCGGCGUGCCUAACACAUGCAAGUCGCACGAGAAAGGGUAGCAAUACCUGAGUAAAGUGGCGCACGGGUGAGUAACACGUGAAUUAUCUACCUCCGAGUGGGGGAAUAACUGAGAGAAAUCUUAGCUAAUACCGCAUAACACUUACGAGUCAAAGCAGCAAUGCGCUUGGAGAGGAGUUCGCGGCCGAUUAGUUAGUUGGCGGGGUAAUGGCCCACCAAGACGAUGAUCGGUAUCCGGCCUGAGAGGGCGCACGGACACACUGGAACUGAAACACGGUCCAGACUCCUACGGGAGGCAGCAGUGGGGAAUUUUGCGCAAUGGGGGAAACCCUGACGCAGCAACGCCGCGUGGAGGAUGAAGCCCCUUGGGGUGUAAACUCCUUUCGAUCGGGACGAUUAUGACGGUACCGGAUGAAGAGCACCGGCUAACUCUGCGCCAGCAGCCGC
rnacentral:rRNA from 1 species